rnacentral:snoRNA from 1 species
UGCAGAAUUUUAAAACAAGAUCCCCAGACUGCAAAAAAUAAAUUCUCUUUUGCAACCCAGAACUCAUUGUUCAGUAUGAGUUUUGAUAUAUAUAAGAAGGAUUAUU